AAAAAAAAAAAGAUGAAAUCAAUGACCUUACUUUAACCCAGAACCUAUUAAAGCUGAAAGCACACUUAUACCGGCUGUACAACUGUAACUAGUGUUGCUAAUUCGGGUAUGAAAACCUCAUUUAAUAAAUGGAUAUGUAGAAGAGAAAUUGACCCAUUUAAACUCAUUUAUUAAAUGUGGUUUCACACAAAUAAUUGGGUACCCAACUAAACUCAUUUAUAUUUCUUUUGUUAUUAGUUAGUUAUCUUUAUUAAAAAUGUUAAU
rnacentral:sRNA from 1 species